ACGGACUUCGGUCUGGUGGCGAGUGGCGAACGGGUGAGUAAUGUAUCGGAAGGUGCCCAGUAGCGGGGGAUAACUACGCGAAAGCGUAGCUAAUACCGCAUACGCCCUACGGGGGAAAGCAGGGGAUCGUAAGACCUUGCACUAUUGGAGCGGCCGAUAUCGGAUUAGCUAGUUGGUGGGGUAACGGCUCACCAAGGCGACGAUCCGUAGCUGGUUUGAGAGGACGACCAGCCACACUGGGACUGAGACACGGCCCAGACUCCUACGGGAGGCAGCAGUGGGGAAUUUUGGACAAUGGGGGAAACCCUGAUCCAGCCAUCCCGCGUGUGCGAUGAAGGCCUUCGGGUUGUAAAGCACUUUUGGCAGGAAAGAAACGUCAUGGGUUAAUACCCCGUGAAACUGACGGUACCUGCAGAACAAGCACCGGCUAACUACGUGCCAGCAGCCGCGGUAAUACGUAGGGUGCAAGCGUUAAUCGGAAUUACUGGGCGUAAAGCGUGCGCAGGCGGUUCGGAAAGAAAGAUGUGAAAUCCCAGAGCUUAACUUUGGAACUGCAUUUUUAACUACCGGGCUAGAGUGUGUCAGAGGGAGGUGGAAUUCCGCGUGUAGCAGUGAAAUGCGUAGAUAUGCGGAGGAACACCGAUGGCGAAGGCAGCCUCCUGGGAUAACACUGACGCUCAUGCACGAAAG
rnacentral:rRNA from 1 species